AAGCCUUCCACAAGUUCUACACAGAACUAUAUAACCUCAGGAGCUCCCCCCCGCUAGCAACAGACAUUGAACGCUUCCUGACUCCCAGGGUGCAUAAAAAAAUCCCCAGUGAAGCACUGCAAUCCCUAGACAGCCCCUUGACGAGAGACGAAUUCCUUAAAGUAGUGAGCUCUUUGCCCCUGCGGAAAAGCCCGGGCCCAGAUGGUUACAC